rnacentral:rRNA from 1 species
CCUACGGGAGGCAGCAGUAGGGAAUAUUGCUCAAUGGGGGAAACCCUGAAGCAGCAACGCCGCGUGGAGGAUGAAGGUUUUCGGAUUGUAAACUCCUUUUGUUAGAGAAGAUAAUGACGGUAUCUAACGAAUAAGCACCGGCUAACUCCGUGCCAGCAGCCGCGGUAAUACGGAGGGUGCAAGCGUUACUCGGAAUCACUGGGCGUAAAGAGCGCGUAGGCGGGAUAGCAAGUCAGAUGUGAAAUCCUAGGGCUUAACCAUAGAACUGCAUUUGAAACUGUGAUUCUAGAGUAUGGGAGAGGUAGGUGGAAUUCUUGGUGUAGGGGUGAAAUCCGUAGAGAUCAAGAGGAAUACUCAUGGCGAAGGCGACCUGCUAGCACAUAACUGACGCUGAUGCGCGAAAGCGUGGGGAGCAAACAGGAUUAGAUACCCCGGUAGUC